AUCCAGGACUAAACCAGGACUAAACCAGGUCUAAACCAGGACUAAACCAGGACUAAACCAGGACUAAACCAGGUCUAAACCAGGUCCAAACCAGGUCCAAACCAGGUCUAAACCAGGACUAAACCAGGACUAAACCAGGACUAAACCAGGACUAAACCAGGACUAAACCAGGACUAAACCAAGACUAAACCAGGUCUAAACCAGGUCUAAACCAGGACUAAUCCAGGUCUAAACCAGGACUAAACCAGGACUAAACCAGGACUAAACCAGGUCUAAAACAGGACUAAACCAGGACUAAACUAGGUCUAAAACAGGACUAAACCAGGACUAAAAAAGAUCUAAACUAGGUCUAAACCAGGUCUAAACCAGGACUAAACCAGGACUAAACCAGGACUAAACCAGGACUAAACCAGGUCUAAACCAGGACUAAACCAGGUCUAAACCAGGACUAAACCAGGACUAAACCAGGAC
ensembl:lncRNA